rnacentral:rRNA from 1 species
ACGGGUGAGGAAUACAUCGGAAUUUGCCCUGUCGUGGGGGAUAACGUAGGGAAACUUACGCUAAUACCGCAUACGACCUAACGGUGAAAGCGGGGGAUCGCAAGACCUCGCGCGGCUGGAGAAGCCGAUGUCAGAUUAGCUAGUUGGCGGGGUAAAGGCCCACCAAGGCGACGAUCUGUAGCUGGUCUGAGAGGAUGAUCAGCCACACUGGGACUGAGACACGGCCCAGACUCCUACGGGAGGCAGCAGUGGGGAAUAUUGGACAAUGGGCGCAAGCCUGAUCCAGCAAUGCCGCGUGUGUGAAGAAGGCCUUCGGGUUGUAAAGCACUUUUAUCUGGAGCGAAAUCUGCAGGGCUAAUACCCAUGCAGUCUGACGGUACCAGAGGAAUAAGCACCGGCUAACUUCGUGCCAGCAGCCGCGGUAAUACGAAGGGUGCAAGCGUUACUCGGAAUUACUGGGCGUAAAGCGUGAGUAGGUGGUUUCUUAAGUCUGCUGUGAAAGCCCCGGGCUCAACCUGGGAAUUGCAGUGGAUACUGGGGAGCUAGAGUGCGGUAGAGGGUAGUGGAAUUCCCGGUGU